UACGAAGGGGGCUAGCGUUGUUCGGAAUUACUGGGCGUAAAGCGCACGUAGGCGGAUCAUUUAGUCAGGGGUGAAAUCCCGGGGCUCAACCUCGGAACUGCCUUCGAUACUGAGAGUCUCGAGUCCGGGAGAGGUGAGUGGAACUGCGAGUGUAGAGGUGAAAUUCGUAGAUAUUAGGAAGAACACCAGUGGCGAAGGCGGCUCACUGGCUCGGUACUGACGCUGAGGCGCGAAAGCGUGGGGAGCAAACAGG
rnacentral:rRNA from 1 species